ACAGAGUUUCCAAAGUGCGGUGAUUGGUCGUUUCCCGGUGAUAAAGGGCGGGACAAAUGGCUACUGACUGACAUUACCGAGGAUAGGUCCAUUGGCAGCACCUCUGCCACAUACCUAUCCCAGACCCCCUAUAGCCCCUACAGGAGUAUGGUGCCUUCCUAUAACCAGCUGGCUGCCAGCUCUCUACUCAGCAGUAUACUGCUGCCUUGGGUCUGGGGGCAGGACUUCAUAGCCUUCCAGUGAGAAGAGGCCUGGUGGUAGAGCAGGCUGUCCAGACAGUACCAGCGGAUAAUUCUGUCCACAGAAGUGGCCAGUCUGCCUCCCAGCAGCAAAGAACGGAGUCUGGUCAGCCUCCCGCACGCUCUGGCAGAGAUGAUCCUCAGUCUCAGAGGAUGACUGCCU